ACCCUAAAUUCUAGGCUCUCUGUUCUCUCCUCAUACUUCAUCCACCCAUUCUGGAAACUUCACAGGCUCACAGCACACACAUUUCAGAUAUCACUUUAUCACUUUUCUUCUUUCUCCAUCUGGUUCUCUCGCCAUUUUCUUAUCUUAAUCAAUUUGUUCUCCCCUAUAAUCAGUCCACAAUUAUGACCGAUUACAUCUGAAUAAACCCUAACAUUGUUUCCUCCGUUCGCAGAUCUAUCUUUUCUCUCUAUCAGAUGAGAAUUCGUUCUCAAAAGUUCAUCUCAAAUUCAAAACCCUGACAGAUUACACAAACCCAAAACCCUAAUCUCGAUUAUCAACGAUUUUCGGUCUACCAAACAACAUUCAACAAAUUCACCUGAAAGAAAGCAAGUAACAACAUCGAUCCAACACCAAGCACAAUAUCUGUAAGGUUGGCUGUUUUUUCUGCUAGUGGUGGAUAUAUGUUGCAAGUGGAGUGGACAACGGUGAAGGCAAAUAACUUAAUAGAAUGAUUCAACUCAUUUCACAACUUAAGUAGAGUUGAAGGUGUCCCAAACUGAUUUCAUUAAACUAUGAGAAUGU